AAACACGGUUGGGUUGAAGCUAGUUUAAAAAGCUUCUUUUCAGCAAGGUGAGAAAGAGAAGAAAAACGAACCGCGUUUUUACUUCCUUUUUGGUUUUAAUCAACGGCAGUAACAGGCAACGCGGCAAACAACUUACGACAACUCGAACGGAUUUGACUCGCAAGAGACCAGCCCAAUCCCAUGGAAGCAAAAGAUUCUCCCCCUGGCUACUAUGCAGACCCUUCGAUCAACCCGCCGCAGAUGGGUUACAGUAAUUUUAGCGGGAAUCACACAGAAUACGCGACGCACCUUCCACCGCCCGUGCCACCGGGCCACGAGUUUGUUGCCGCCCAAGGCGAGCGACCGGCCAACUGGCGUACAAAUCGGGCGUGUCGAAUUGUGGCAGGAAUAUUUGUGACAAUCGCUAUGAUCAUUUGUGGGGGUACAUUGCGGUUUGGAAUAAGAAGACUAUUUUAUGAUGACUAAAUGGAAAGUUUCUUCAAAGAGCUCAGAAUUAUGCUGCAAAAUUUAUUAUUUCGAUUUAUCCACUAUUAGAUUCAAAAUCUGCUUCCGUAAUUUUCCAUAGCCGGGUUAACAGUGUCGAGUUCAAUCCCUUUCUUAA